rnacentral:rRNA from 1 species
GGAAUAUUGCGCAAUGGGGGAAACCCUGACGCAGCAACGCCGCGUGAGUGACGAAGGCUCUCGGGUCGUAAAGCCCUGUCGAAGGAGACGAAACUAUCGGGUGCUAAUACCACCUGGUAUUGACGGUAUCCUUAGAGGAAGCACCGGCUAACGCCGUGCCAGCAGCCGCGGUAAUACGGAGGGUGCGAGCGUUGUUCGGAAUUACUGGGCGUAAAGCGCGCGUAGGCGGCUUCUUAGGUCGGGUGUGAAAGCCCUGGGCCUAACCCAGGAAGUGCGCCCGAAACUGAGAAGCUUGAGUACGAGAGAGGAGGACGGAGUUCCCAGUGUAGAGGUGAAAUUCGUAGAUAUUGGGAAGAACACCGGUGGCGAAAGCGGUUCUCUGGAUCGAUACUGACGCUAAGGCGCGAAAGCGUGGGGAGCAAA